rnacentral:tRNA from 2 species
UCUGUAGUUCAGUCGGUAGAACGGCGGACUGUUAAUCCGUAUGUCACUGGUUCGAGUCCAGUCAGAA